AGACCCGAAACCCGGUGAUCUAGCCAUGGGCAGGUUGAAGGUUGGGUAACACUAACUGGAGGACCGAACCGACUAAUGUUGAAAAAUUAGCGGAUGACCUGUGGCUGGGGGUGAAAGGCCAAUCAAACCGGGAGAUAGCUGGUUCUCCCCGAAAGCUAUUUAGGUAGCGCCUCGUGAAUUCAUCUCCGGGGGUAGAGCACUGUUUCGGCUAGGGGGCCAUCCCGGCUUACCAACCCGAUGCAAACUGCGAAUACCGGAGAAUGUUAUCACGGGAGACACACGGCGGGUGCUAACGUCCGUCGUGAAGAGGGAAACAACCCAGACCGCCAGCUAAGGUCCCAAAGUCAUGGUUAAGUGGGAAACGAUGUGGGAAGGCCCAGACAGCCAGGAUGUUGGCUUAGAAGCAGCCAUCAUUUAAAGAAAGCGUAAUAGCUCACUGGUCGAGUCGGCCUGCGCGGAAGAUGUAACGGGGCUAAACCAUGCACCGAAGCUGCGGCAGCGAACGUAUCACCCAAGACAACUUUACGGAGUUGACGAUUGACGGAGCGAAGCGACGUCAAAGCGUUCAUUAAAGUCGAGUUGGCUUAGGGAUACGUUCGUUGGGUAGGGGAGCGUUCUGUAAGCCUGUGAAGGUGUGUCGUGAGGCAUGCUGGAGGUAUCAGAAGUGCGAAUGCUGACAUAAGUAACGAUAAAGCGGGUGAAAAGCCCGCUCGCCGGAAGACCAAGGGUUCCUGUCCAACGUUAAUCGGGGCAGGGUGAGUCGACCCCUAAGGCGAGGCCGAAAGGCGUAGUCGAUGGGAAACGGGUUAAUAUUCCCGUACUUGGUGUUACUGCGAAGGGGGGACGGAGAAGGCUAUGUUGGCCGGGCGACGGUUGUCCCGGUUUAAGCGUGUAGGUGUGUGUUCCAGGUAAAUCCGGUUCACUUUAACACUGAGGCGUGACGACGAGGCACUACGGUGCUGAAGCAACAAAUGCCCUGCUUCCAGGAAAAGCCUCUAAGCAUCAGGUAACAUCAAAUCGUACCCCAAACCGACACAGGUGGUCAGGUAGAGAAUACCAAGGCGCUUGAGAGAACUCGGGUGAAGGAACUAGGCAAAAUGGUGCCGUAACUUCGGGAGAAGGCACGCUGACACGUAGGUGAAGUGAUUUACUCAUGGAGCUGAAGUCAGUCGAAGAUACCAGCUGGCUGCAACUGUUUAUUAAAAACACAGCACUGUGCAAACACGAAAGUGGACGUAUACGGUGUGACGCCUGCCCGGUGCCGGAAGGUUAAUUGAUGGGGUCAGCGCAAGCGAAGCUCCUGAUCGAAGCCCCGGUAAACGGCGGCCGUAACUAUAACGGUCCUAAGGUAGCGAAAUUCCUUGUCGGGUAAGUUCCGACCUGCACGAAUGGCGUAAUGAUGGCCAGGCUGUCUCCACCCGAGACUCAGUGAAAUUGAACUCGCUGUGAAGAUGCAGUGUACCCGCGGCAAGACGGAAAGACCCCGUGAACCUUUACUAUAGCUUGACACUGAACAUUGAGCCUUGAUGUGUAGGAUAGGUGGGAGGCUUUGAAGUGUGGACGCCAGUCUGCAUGGAGCCGACCUUGAAAUACCACCCUUUAAUGUUUGAUGUUCUAACGUGGACCCGUAAUCCGGGUUGCGGACAGUGUCUGGUGGGUAGUUUGACUGGGGCGGUCUCCUCCUAAAGAGUAACGGAGGAGCACGAAGGUUGGCUAAUCCUGGUCGGACAUCAGGAGGUUAGUGCAAUGGCAUAAGCCAGCUUGACUGCGAGCGUGACGGCGCGAGCAGGUGCGAAAGCAGGUCAUAGUGAUCCGGUGGUUCUGAAUGGAAGGGCCAUCGCUCAACGGAUAAAAGGUACUCCGGGGAUAACAGGCUGAUACCGCCCAAGAGUUCAUAUCGACGGCGGUGUUUGGCACCUCGAUGUCGGCUCAUCACAUCCUGGGGCUGAAGUAGGUCCCAAGGGUAUGGCUGUUCGCCAUUUAAAGUGGUACGCGAGCUGGGUUUAGAACGUCGUGAGACAGUUCGGUCCCUAUCUGCCGUGGGCGCUGGAGAACUGAGGGGGGCUGCUCCUAGUACGAGAGGACCGGAGUGGACGCAUCACUGGUGUUCGGGUUGUCAUGCCAAUGGCACUGCCCGGUAGCUAAAUGCGGAAGAGAUAAGUGCUGAAAGCAUCUAAGCACGAAACUUGCCCCGAGAUGAGUUCUCCCUGAGA
rnacentral:rRNA from 1 species